CGGCGAGUGAAGCGGCAACAGCUCAAAUUUGAAAGCUGGCCCUUUUAGGGUCCGCAUUGUAAUUUGUAGAGGAUGAUUCGGCGAGGGCUCCCGCCUAAGUCCCCUGGAACGGGGCGUCAUAGAGGGUGAGAAUCCCGUAUGCGGUGGGCUGCCUUAGCCAUGUGAAUCUCCUUCGACGAGUCGAGUUGUUUGGGAAUGCAGCUCUAAAUGGGAGGUAAAUUUCUUCUAAAGCUAAAUACCGGCCAGAGACCGAUAGCGCACAAGUAGAGUGAUCGAAAGAUGAAAAGCACUUUGGAAAGAGAGUUAAAAAGUACGUGAAAUUGUUGAAAGGGAAGCGCUUGCAACCAGACUUGUCCGCAGUUGCUCAGCCGGUCUCCUGACCGGCGUACUCUUCUGCGGCCAGGCCAGCAUCAGUUCGGGCGGUCGGAUAAAGACCUCGGGAAUGUAGCUCCUCUCGGGGAGUGUUAUAGCCCGGGGUGGAAUGCGGCCAGCCUGGACUGAGGAUCUCGCUUCGGCAAGGAUGCUGGCGUAAUGGUUGUAAGCGGC
rnacentral:rRNA from 1 species